AUUGAACGCUGGCGGCAGGCCUAACACAUGCAAGUCGAGCGAGCGGCGGACGGGUGAGUAAUGUCUGGGAAACUGCCUGAUGGAGGGGGCUAACUACUGGAAACGGUAGCUAAUACCGCAUACCAUCAGAUGUGCCCAGAGGGGAUUGGAUAGUAGGUGGGGUAAUGGCGCACCUAGGCGACGGUCCCUAGCUGGUCUGAGAGGAGGACCAGCCACCCUGUAACUGCGACACGUGCCAGACUCCUACGGGAGGCAGUAGUGGGGAAUAUUGCACAAUGGGCGCAAGCCUGAUGCAGCCAUGCCGCGUGUGUGAAGAAGGCCUUCGGGUUGUAAAGCACUUUCAGCGGGGAGGCGUUACCCGCAGAAGAAGCACCGGCUAACUCCGUGCCAGCAGCCGCGGUAAUUC
rnacentral:rRNA from 1 species